UACGGAGGGUGCAAGCGUUGUCCGGAAUCACUGGGCGUAAAGGGCGCGUAGGCGGCUCAUGAAGGCUGUGGUGAAAGUCCGGGGCUCAACCUCGGAUCGGCCGUGGCGACUCGUGGGCUGGAGCACUGUAGAGGCGGGUGGAAUUCCGGGUGUAGCGGUGGAAUGCGUAGAGAUCCGGAAGAACACCAGUGGCGAAGGCGGCCCGCUGGGCAGUGGCUGACGCUGAGGCGCGACAGCGUGGGGAGCAAACCGGG
rnacentral:rRNA from 1 species